ACAUCGGAAACGUGUUCCUGUAGUGGGGGAUAGCCCGGCGAAAGCCGGAUUAAUACCGCAUACGAUCUACGGAAGAAAGCGGGGGAUCUUCGGACCUCGCGCUGCAGGGGCGGCCGAUGGCAGAUUAGCUAGUUGGUGGGGUAAAGGCCUACCAAGGCGACGAUCUGUAGCUGGUCUGAGAGGACGACCAGCCACACUGGGACUGAGACACGGCCCAGACUCCUACGGGAGGCAGCAGUGGGGAAUUUUGGACAAUGGGGGCAACCCUGAUCCAGCAAUGCCGCGUGUGUGAAGAAGGCCUUCGGGUUGUAAAGCACUUUUGUCCGGAAAGAAAACCGCCGCCCUAAUAUGGUGGUGGGAUGACGGUACCGGNAGAAUAA
rnacentral:rRNA from 1 species